UGAAAUUCAAAUUUAACUAGGAAUCCUGUAGGUUUUCUGGCAAUCUUUGCCUCAGCUCACUUCCAGGAACUGGUGGGCUUUUUUCUGGUGGCACUUUGGGUAGGGAUGUGCACAAGAGCUCAGAUAGUCACACUUGGGCGUCCAAAAGGCAUGCAAGCAAGAACCCUCUCAGGGCUAGGAGUCUGAGGAGGGAGAGAAGGGGGACUGGCAGGAACCCUUCAAAUGUGCCCUUGUUAGGGGUGUGCCGGCUCCCUAAACCUUAUAGAUUGAUUUUUGAACUUCAUUUGUGAUUUCCAUGGUCCGUUGAGCUCACAGAACAGGACCCCUUGUAUUUUGCUCACCUCUGACUUCAUCUGAGGGGCGGGGGUUGGCUCUAGAAGGAGCUGCUCAGAUCCCUAAGGGAAAUGUACAUGUUGGUACAGAUGGCUUCAUGAGUUUCUCAGUCUAUGAGAUGGAAAAACUCCUGGAUGUGAGGGUCGAAGCUUUUGGGUUUUCCUCUAUCAAGGGUGCCUGACUGAGCAGGAUGCUUCAUCUCUUGGAGGCCAUUUUUCCACCCCUAUUCCCAACAGGUGAAAAAUAUCCCUGCCUCCUAGAGAGGUGUGGGGGUAAAAUGAAACAACAUGGGAAAGCAUGAGAGUCCUUGGCAGGUGUCAAGCCUCCAAUAAAUGUAGUUGAAUCUGAAUAGGUAGAAAUAGAACCCAGGCCUCUCCUUUUAUUCAGCCUCAGCGGGACCACCCAGACAUCCGUUUCCAGUUGGGGGCCACUGGGAUCUUCUGGGAAGCGGAGAGGACUCCUAAAUCAGAGAGCAGGGAUGGGACCUCCAUCCCAGUCCUCUGGAACAUUGUGAUAAAUGAACCCAGGGAUGUGGCCUUCCAGAAGCAUCUGACUCUAGGGCUGCAACUGACAAUUACCCUCCACCAUGGGAACUCUGCCGUUUCAUACGUCUAGAGGACAAGCAAGACCCCGCCCACCGAGACAGAGCUCAAUCAUUCAUCAGAACAGAGAGCUGAAUCAUUCCCAUGAAGACUGCUGAGAUCAAGUGUUACUAAAAAUUAUUAAACAGAAACCCAACUCUUUUCUAGUGCCAGUUGUCUGCCAGCAAUCCUCGUGAAAAGAUUUAAGAGGAAGGUGGUAUAUUGUGAUGCAGAAAAGGUGGACUCUGGUGUCCAAGAGACCUAGGUCCCAACGCCAGCCCUGCCAUCUGCAGGCUAAGUAAUCAUGGAAGGUGGAGAUAUGGAGAAGAACAUAACCGGCUUUUGCGGACAACUUCAUUGAGCCUUUUAAUUUUGCAAAGACGAGUGAAAAUGCGGUUUUGGAACAAAGAGGGUCCAGAUUUGAACUCCAAAAAGAAAACGGAGCAGGUUGUUUUCAUCCUGGAUGGCGUGGACGUUCGUUCUGUAACUAUUUCCUUUGCAGGGUGGAAUGGUCUAUUUCAUAGCAUAUAGUCCCUGACCAUUGAGUUGUUGGGAGACAUGUGCAAGACUUUGUUGGGGCAGUUGCCCCAGUAGAGCUGUGGGAAGCAAUAUUAAGAGAUCAAGUCUCCAGCCUGAGCUCGGGUGAUUACUGAGCCUACUUGGCGGCCUAGACUAUUCUGGAAUGCCCCAAGGUCACUCUGAUAGCUGUACAUGGAAGGGUAGAGAAGACACUAUUUUUGUAACAGACCAUUAUGGAAACUGGUACCAUGAAGCAGUCACGUUAUGUGCAAUUCAUUCUGCUCAGGCUUUUCCUUAGAGAUAUGUAAGCAUGCAUAAGAUUAUGCUUUUAGGUCUCCAUUAGAUCCUCAACUCGAGUGGCUGAGGUGUCAUUGAGUAUUUUUAUGGCUGACUGGGUAUUAAAACACCAGGAAGAUGAUGCAAAUAGGUAUGGACCACUUUGCCAGGUUAUUACAGAAUCACGAGGCUGAAUAAAAAUGAGGUUAUGCACCAUCACAUACCAAAGAAAUCAUAAAUAAACCAGAGAUUUUCGUUGGCAAAGUGUAGUUAAAAUAUUUGAGUCCAGCAGCAAAACCAACAUAUCAUAUUUAUAUUUUUAAACAAUUCACUGUGUGUCCUGGCAUAUAUGAAAACCUGACCAUUUGCAAAGAGGCAGCAUCUCAAGGCAUUCAGAACCAGAGCAUAAGCUGUCUAAAAAGAGCUUAAUAAUAAUGCUAAGAUGAAGUUACUGCUGUUUGGAUUUAUAGAAUGAACAAUGUAAUCUAUUAGAAAAGAUUUGGGAAUUUCCCUUGGAUGGAAAAAAGAGCUAUUCGAGUAGGUCCUUACUACGAGGUCCUCCGCCCCCUUCUAUUAACUCAAAUCAGAACAAGUACUCUAGUCCUAAAUUAUUUCCCCGAUGUUAGAGUCCACCUCACUGGCUGGACGUACAUAUUUGCAAAUGGUCAAGUUUCCCCAUAGGGGCUGUAACACGCACACAUGGUUGAGAGAGAUUACAAAAGUUGCAUAGGCCCAUGCAAUAUAUAAACAUGUAUCUAAUGUAUUUAAAAUAAAGACAGAUGGAAGAAUGUGCCUGCGAGAGGACAAGACAGGAAUAUGUAUGUAUAUUGUUGCCGGUCUCGUCACUAUGGCCUCAACGCCAUGCCAGGUAUAGAUCAUGGCCUCGAGAGUAUGGGCACGCAUACACCCAGGGGAGCCCCAAAGAAAGGAAAUUGCAGUAGGCACACAAUUCAUCUCUAGCCCACCUGCCAAAUGUUGGCAGACUACUCAGGGUCACAACCCACAUGUUGUGAACCACGAUUUUACCUCCCUGGGUAGCAUGUGGUUUUGAGGCAAAGGCUAGGAGUUUACGUUCCCGGAUGCCAUAUGUAUGCAGUUAGCAGACAACUAUGGUCUCUUUAUACGUACAUGGCCACAAAUCACUACAGAUUGAUGCCUGGCUGAUGGACUUGAUCUCCUGCGAAUUCCCCAUAUGCUUCACCUUACUCCGAAAUGUGGUAGAGGAAAAUACGCAGCAUGGGGAGCUUUGGACAGAAAACACGGGAAGCCUCUACUCCUGGAACCACCAUAUGUGAAGCUAUAAUGGGCCGCAGCCCUGGGGGUGGGGGUGGGAAGACAACUGUUCCUGAAUUUCCUUAGACAUUCAAAAAGCAACUAGAGGAAACAAAAACAAAAACAAACGCCAACCUGCAGUCAAGAUAUAAUUGGCCGCUGGGGCUUUCUCCAAAGUGGCUAGUUCUGAUUCAGCCUUAGAAACUGAAAGGAAAUGUAAGGUUUUGUUCCCCUGACAAAUGUGAUUCCCAGUUUGUUUUUCGAAUUUUCCUUUUGUUCUUCCCUCCAUGGCUUCUCCCCUUCCCUCCUUCCUGUGGGAAGGAACAGAUGCAAUUAAUCAGCCUCAGCACCACAGCAACUGAGAGCACAAGCUGACCGCAAAGACCAGCAGAGGUUAGCAUUACGGAGCCUCCAUAGAACUCAGCUCUCCUGUGAGGGACCUUAGAAGAAAGAUUGAAGCAGGGAAACAUUUUACAUAAGGUUUUGUUAUCAAAAAGAAAGAGUGGGAUGCCUGGGUGGCUCAGUCAGUUAAGCGGGCACUCUUGGUUUCCUACUCGGGUCACGAUAUCUCAAGGUAGUGAGUUCAAGCCCCAGGUCAGGCUUCCCACUCACUGGGGAGUUGGCUUGAGAUGGUCUCCCUCUGCUCCUCCCUGACUUGUGUUUGCUCUCUCUCAAAUAAAUCUUUAAAAGAAAAAAAAAAAAAAGGAGCCAAUUGCUUCCAUAUAGAUGUAUCCAUGGGAGUGUACCAGGGGAGGAAAGGGAGACAGGUUUGAAGGAUUUAGAGCCCCCUAGCUCUUUUUUAUCCCCCCUGAAACAUCUUAACAGGUAAGUAGAGCACGUAUCAGAAAAAGUCAUCAGACCCAUAAAUAUAGAAGAUACCAGGUGUACCCACUCAUGACCCAGCUUUCGUAAAACCCAAACUCUUCCAAGUUUCUUCAACAUUUGUAAGGACAGUAUUUCAGAUACGCGUGAACACUCCUGCCACCUCUCCUCACUUUCAUUCCCCUCGCUCCUCUCCUUUGCAGGAGUCUCCCUAGAGCUGAAGCGCCCAGAAUUUUUUUUUUUUUUAAAGGAUUUUAGAAAGAGAAGUGGGGGAAGGGCAGAGAGAGGGAAAGAGAAUCUCAGCACCCAGCGCCGAGCUUUAGUGGAGUUAAACCCUACAACCCGUGAGCUCAGGACCUGAGCCAAGAGACGCUUAACCCACUGAGCCACCCAGGCGCCCCCCCAGACUUUAACAACAUAUUUUACGUAACUACCCUCUACACCUACAGAAACUCUUAAAAGCAUUUGCCUGCUGUCUGAGGUCAGGUUCCCUAGCAGCAGGCCCUGGGACAGAGUUGCUCACACAAGAGAAAACCUUUAAGAAAGUGAAGGAAGCAAGACAGAAGAGAGGAAGGAGCUAAGCAAAGGUGUGAUUUCUGCCAAUCUUGCCUCAGUCUGAGCUCUUAUGGAAUUCUGGGCCGUGAAGAGGAGAGACAGAUCUGUCUCACUGAGGCAAAUGCACUUGGUUUUCACGCCCCGUUGUUUAUAAGCCAUGGCUGUAGGCCACCUGGUGGUGGGGGCUUCGGGAAGAUUGUAACCUCUUGGGCAUUUCCAGUUGCAGUAGUGCCCAUCAGCCAAUAGCCCGUCUCUGGAAGAGCUCAGUUGUAAGCAGUUAGCAGCAGCUGGGGGUGAGUGCACUGGCCCCAUAAAGGAGUCUGGGCAGGUCAGCACCGGCAUUGACUACACCUUCCGACCUGUGUGAUACAUUCUGAUACGAUGUUCCUCCCUCCUCCCCUCCCCCUUCCUUCUAUACAUUGCUUACUAAGUGGGUUUCAUUAAUUUAGUGAAUUGGGGGGAUAAAAUGGAUUAUUCAAUAAAUGGUGCUCGAAUAAUUGGCUAUUUAUGUAGAAAACAAAGCAAAAUUGUAUCCCUAGUGUACACACACACACACAUGCAUGGAUGAAUAAAGAUCUAAAUGUAUUGUUCCUUUCCUUCCCUCCCUUUCUCUACCGUUCCCGUCCGUUCAGUGCCCGCUAAAAUUGAUUUUGUUCUCUGUCAAGCGGGCACAACCUAAAGUUUUUAAAACCCUGUUCUAGGAUAUACCUAGAAGGGGAAUUGCUGGAAUACGAACAUCUACACUAGUAAAUACUCUCACGUGGCCCCUUCAAGCAGUUUAAUGUGUAUCUAUCUAUAUCCAUAUACAUUAAAUAUGUUGCAAAUACCUUUUCCCUCUGUGUAAGUUUUUACACUGUGGUGUGUUUUGAUGUGCAUAAGUUUUAUAUUUUUAUGAAGUCGACUUUAUAUUUUCCUUUAGGUUUUAUGCAUUUCUUUGCUGCAAUUAUUAUGAAAUUAUUUUCUAGCUCAGAGACAUAAAGACAUAGUUCAUUCUAAACAGUUUAAGUUUUUAUUUGUCAUAGUCAGAGCCUUAUUCAUCCACAAAUUUAGGGGGGUGUAGAUUAAGGCAUAUAAUUUUAGUUUCUAUAUAAAUAGCCCAUUAUUCUGGGGCACCUGGGU